rnacentral:rRNA from 1 species
AGCAUCCUACGGGAGGCAGCAGUGGGGAAUAUUGCACAAUGGGCGCAAGCCUGAUGCAGCCAUGCCGUCGUGUAUGAAGAAGGCCUUCGGGUUGUAAAGUACUUUCAGCAGUGAGGAAGGUGGGUAUGUUAAUAGCAUAUUCAUUUGACGUUAGCUGCAGAAGAAGCACCGGCUAACUCCGUGCCAGCAGCCGCGGUAAUACGGAGGGUGCGAGCGUUAAUCGGAAUUACUGGGCGUAAAGCGCAUGCAGGUGGUUUGUUAAGUCAGAUGUGAAAGCCCGGGGCUCAACCUCGGAAUUGCAUUUGAAACUGGCAAACUAGAGUACUGUAGAGGGGGUAGAAUUUCAGGUGUAGCGGUGAAAUGCGUAGAGAUCUGAAGGAAUACCGGUGGCGAAGGCGGCCCCCUGGACAGAUACUGACACUCAGAUGCGAAAGCGUGGGGAGCAAACAGGAUUAGAUACCCUGGUAG